GUGAGGAAUAUUGGUCAAUGGGCGGGAGCCUGAACCAGCCAAGUCGCGUGAAGGAAGAAGGAUCUAUGGUUCGUAAACUUCUUUUGCAGGGGAAUAAAGUACAGGACGUGUCCUGUUUUGUAUGUACCCUGAGAAUAAGGAUCGGCUAACUCCGUGCCAGCAGCCGCGGUAAUACGGAGGAUCCGAGCGUUAUCCGGAUUUAUUGGGUUUAAAGGGUGCGCAGGCGGGUUGAUAAGUCAGCGGUGAAAGUUUGCAGCUUAACUGUAAAAUUGCCGUUGAAACUGUCGAUCUUGAGUGCAAAUGAGGUAAGCGGAAUGUGUUGUGUAGCGGUGAAAUGCUUAGAUAUAACACAGAACACCGAUUGCGAAGGCAGCUUACUGGGAUGCAACUGACGCUCAUGCACGAAAGCGUGGGGAUCAAACAGGAUUAGAUACCCGUGUAGUCC
rnacentral:rRNA from 1 species